GGAGAGGUAGUUUAAUAAAAAUUAUUCGUUUACACCGAAUCGAUCUUCUUUGGUCUCUCUC
rnacentral:tRNA from 1 species